GACGAACGCUGGCGGCGUGCUUAACACAUGCAAGUCGAACGGAAAGGCCCUGCUUUUGUGGUGUGCUCGGUUGGCGAACGGGUGAGUAACACGUGAGUAACCUGCCCUUGACUUUGGGAUAACUUCAGGUAACUGGGGCUAAUACCGUAUAGGAGCUCCUGCUGCAUUGUGGGGGUUGGAAAUUUUCGGCGGUUGGGGUUGGACUCGCGGCUUAUCAGCUUGUUGGUGGGGUAGUGGCUUACCCAGGCUUUGACGGGUAGCCGGCCUGAGAGGGUGACCGGAGUCAUUGCGACUGAGAGACGGACCAGAGUCCUACGGGAGGCAGCAGUGGGGAACAUUGCACAAUGGGCGGAAGCCGGAUGCAGCGACGCCGGGUGCGGGAUGACGGUUUUCGGGUUAUAAACAGCUUUAGCCUGUGACGAAGCGUGAGUGACGGUAACGGGUAAAGAAGCACCGGCUAACUACGUG
rnacentral:rRNA from 1 species